rnacentral:tRNA from 2 species
CAUAACAUAUCUAAGUUUAAGAGCUGGAUUCUUACUCCAGUAAUGUGUGUUACACUGUAUGGU